rnacentral:rRNA from 1 species
AUACAUGCAAGUCGAGCGGACAGAAGGGAGCUUGCUCCCGGAUGUUAGCGGCGGACGGGUGAGUAACACGUGGGUAACCUGCCUGUAAGACUGGGAUAACUCCGGGAAACCGGAGCUAAUACCGGAUAGUUCCUUGAACCGCAUGGUUCAAGGAUGAAAGACGGUUUCGGCUGUCACUUACAGAUGGACCCGCGGCGCAUUAGCUAGUUGGUGGGGUAAUGGCUCACCAAGGCGACGAUGCGUAGCCGACCUGAGAGGGUGAUCGGCCACACUGGGACUGAGACACGGCCCAGACUCCUACGGGAGGCAGCAGUAGGGAAUCUUCCGCAAUGGACGAAAGUCUGACGGAGCAACGCCGCGUGAGUGAUGAAGGUUUUCGGAUCGUAAAGCUCUGUUGUUAGGGAAGAACAAGUGCGAGAGUAACUGCUCGCACCUUGACGGUACCUAACCAGAAAGUCCACGGCUAACUACGUGCCAGCAGCCGCGGUAAUACGUAGGUGGCAAGCGUUGUCCGGAAUUAUUGGGCGUAAAGGGCUCGCAGGCGGUUUCUUAAGUCUGAUGUGAAAGCCCCCGGCUCAACCGGGGAGGGUCAUUGGAAACUGGGAAACUUGAGUGCAGAAGAGGAGAGUGGAAUUCCACGUGUAGCGGUGAAAUGCGUAGAGAUGUGGAGGAACACCAGUGGCGAAGGCGACUCUCUGGUCUGUAACUGACGCUGAGGAGCGAAAGCGUGGGGAGCGAACAGGAUUAGAUACCCUGGUAGUCCACGCCGUAAACGAUGAGUGCUAAGUGUUAGGGGGUUUCCGCCCCUUAGUGCUGCAGCUAACGCAUUAAGCACUCCGCCUGGGGAGUACGGUCGCAAGACUGAAACUCAAAGGAAUUGACGGGGGCCCGCACAAGCGGUGGAGCAUGUGGUUUAAUUCGAAGCAACGCGAAGAACCUUACCAGGUCUUGACAUCCUCUGACAACCCUAGAGAUAGGGCUUUCCCUUCGGGGACAGAGUGACAGGUGGUGCAUGGUUGUCGUC